AUUGAACGCUGGCGGCAUGCUUUACACAUGCAAGUCGAACGGUAACGGGCCGCAAGGUGCUGACGAGUGGCGAACGGGCGAGUAAUGCAUCGGAACGUGCCCAGUCGUGGGGGAUAACUACUCGAAAGAGUAGCUAAUACCGCAUACGAUCUAUGGAUGAAAGCGGGGGACCGUAAGGCCUCGCGCGAUUGGAGCGGUCGAUGUCAGAUUAGGUAGUUGGUGGGGUAAAGGCUCACCAAGCCAACGAUCUGUAGCUGGUCUGAGAGGACGACCAGCCACACUGGGACUGAGACACGGCCCAGACUCCUACGGGAGGCAGCAGUGGGGAAUUUUGGACAAUGGGCGCAAGCCUGAUCCAGCAAUGCCGCGUGCAGGAAGAAGGCCUUCGGGUUGUAAACUGCUUUUGUACGGAACGAAACGGCUCUGGUUAAUACCCGGGGCUAAUGACGGUACCGUAAGAAUAAGCACCGGCUAACUACGUG
rnacentral:rRNA from 1 species